UCAUAAUUAAGCAAAUGCCGUUCUGAAACAAUUUUAAAGAAAUAUGUUCCACAUCACCAUGCUGUCAAUUACAUAUAAUAUUGUAGCAUCAUCGUGAUUUCAGUUAAAAUUAGGUCUUAGCGAAAGCAAGUCCUCAUCAUUUCUUCACGGCUUGCAGAGAACACGGGCUUCUCUGUGGGAGGGAAUGUAUUGCAAAACCGGUGGGACAAAGAAAGACAUUACGAACAAAAGACCUUGCAAAUGAGCAAACAAGCUCAGCAACUACUUGCGCCAUACAUAACACACACGAGGCGCCUGGCUCCUACAUAUGUCCAAGGGGUUGUUGCGAGGGUAUAAAAGACAUCUUCGUUCUGCACCUGCAAUUGCGUCCGUGCCUCUCCUGCCACAAUUGGCGCACGAAUAGGGACACGAAAAGCAGAGCGGGCUGAAAUAAGCACUAUCGAGAGAGCACUGAGAAGCGCGGGGCUGCGAGAAGCCCUGUCAAGAGAGAGCUGAGAGGAGCGUGGGGCUGAAAGAAGCCCUAUCGAGAGAGCGCUGAGAGAAGAGCAGAGAUGAGAGACGCCUUAUCGAGAGAGCGUUGAGAGAAACGCGAGGAUGAGAGAAGCCAUGGAGAAGGCGUUGAGAGAAACGCGAGGCUCAACAUAGAAGAAGCCUGUACAGGGGAGCGUUGAGAGAAACGCGGCUGCCCGAGGUUUCAUCGCACAGCCGAAUCACUUCUGCAGGACGGAGGUUCUCGAUACAUGAUGUGGAUGGGCUUUUGGGGAGAAUCUGCACAACAAAAGGCGCUGGAAUGGCAGCUAUCGGAGCUCAGCGACUCGCAGUAGAGCAUGCAGACCCUGAGCCUAUGGCUCAUCCACCACCACAGGCACUCGGCAUUUACCGUCGGCACGUGGGAGCAGGAGCUGUGGAAAGUUGCUGCUGAGACAUAGGCUUGUGUUUGGACCCUCACUCGUUCCAGCUGUUGGCACUGAUGCAGUGUAUUUUUUUCUGAACCUUUUAGCUUUUGUAGCAGUUGCUCGAUGCUCCAGAAAAUUCUAAGGAAUGGGUCUGAGAUGUGUACCAGCAUGAUGGGUCCAGUCAUUCCCCUCAUCAUCUGCUGUAACAUGAUCACCAUGCAUUCAUCAGCGGUUUGGAUUCCAGCUCAACCAAAACAGAAUAUAUGGGUCACCCUCGCCAACAAGAUGGGACAAGACACACUUUGCUUGUCAAUUGCGUCACCAGGGAACCAUAUGAAUUGGAAUUGUUGGGAUUGGUUAGAAUGGACUAUUGAUCGUACUUCAACUAUACUGGAAAGAACCAAUCAUUCAGUGUUAGUUUAGUUGUUUAUAGGAAUGUUUCUGAACUGCGCCUUUCUUUUUAUUAAUAGAGAAGGGGGAGAUGUGGGACAAAGAAAGACAUCAUGAACAAAAGACUUUGCAGAUGAGUAAACAAGCUGAGCAACUACUUGCACCGGACAUAAACACACACGAGGCCUCUGGCUCCUAUAUGUGAUCAAGGGGUUGUUGCAUGAGUCUAAACGGUUGCCUCUCCUGCCACAAAGGCCCACCAAUUUCCUGUUACUGAGCUGAGAAAUGGUGACACUAAGUGGCCAUGAGUAAACCUACAGUGCCCAAAAUAGACUCAAGAGCAGUGGUCUUGUGUACACCAGCAUGGAUACCAGUCCUGCUCAGAACACAUGCUAUCCACACCAUGCUGCAGGACAUCUAGGCCUUAGCUUGUUGGAGCAUGACUGAGCCCCUGAUACCACAAAGGAGAGCAUAUUGCUCAGUUGGUACUGGUGUUCAGACCACUGAGCUUUAGUGGCCUGUAGCUGUCCUGAGAUCACACUGAGAGGCUGAGAGCAUCUCCAUGAAAUUUUUAGCUUAGAUGCAGGAUGGGCACUUCCUCUGUCAGCUGUGGGCACCUGGGGGAAACUCAAGAGCUUGUCUGAUCCAGGCCCCAUCCAGCUUCUUUAUAUGAAAUAUAUUAUUAAAAACAAAACAAAACAAAACAAAAAAAAACAUGGUUCCAAGUCUUCUCUAGAUACUGUUAAGAUUGCAUAAGCUUAGGGAAAUAAUAUAACUGAAGUUAUGUCAGGAGCUGGAAAUAGUAUGAGGUUCACAAGGUGAUGCUGAGGGAACAUAAAAUCUGAUGUAGUUCCUUCUCAUUUCUAUUGAUCUGAAAGAGGAACUACAUCUCAAAUGCAGUGUACCUGAUGGUUUAACUGUCCUUUUUAAGAUUUAUGUCUAAAACUGGAAAUAACCUGUCUGUUCAAUAAUUUCUUCUAUUAAUAAUCAAUAAUUCUCUUCUAUUAAUUCUAAAAGUGGUGGAAUUAGAAAAAAAAAAUUACUGAAUUCAUUCACUUGAAUGUUUGUUUCCAUGCACCAAGUAAUAAAUAUUCAUCAUGGAGAUUUACAUAAAGUGCUUUUUUUGCUGCAUGUUUUAUAUUUAUUACUGAAGAAGAUAUUUUAUGUAAUUACAAACUUCCACAUAGUCUACCAAAUUGCUUUUCAAACUCUUAAAGGGUUCACUGGAGAUGCUGCGUGCUAUUGUCAUUUUGAUUCAUAACAACCAGUUUUAACAACCUUACAAAGAAACACAGUUCUCAUUUAUAGUCUGCAUUAAGGGUAGAUAUUUGAUAUAUGUCAUCAUUAAUAAAUGAAAGAUAUUCCUUUCAGAACCACAAAAGACACUGUAAUUAACAACAUGAUGGUAGGUUGGAAAAUAGAUGGCAAACUGUAGAAGUAAUUGGCCACAUAGGGACUGUCUUCCAGUCAUUUAAAAACAGAAAUAUUUGAGGUGUAUAACAUCAAUUUAAUACAUGAUUUCAGCUGAGGCUGAUUGUUCCAAGAAUAAGAGAAUGUGUGGUUUUACAGUUACAGUAAAAAUCUUCAUCUAGCACAGCUAUUAAUCCUAGCCUGAUGUUACCAUUUAAUUAAUUUCAUUAUCAGAUUUAAAUUAAAUAUAUAUUUGACAUUAAAGGUGAAAUGUUAGGAGAAAUAACUUGUAAAAAAGCUAAUAGCCAAACCAAGGAGGGAAUGUUAUAUUUUAGUUUUUCUAAUUGCUUGAUUUAACACCAAACAUGUGUCUUCUUUGUGCAUUUUCCUGUUCCCAGUUCGGUUAGGUAAUCAUUUCUGUGUGAAUCACCAAAGAAGUAUUUUAAACUGUAUCCCAUUAACACUGAAAGAGCUGGGAAUAAAGAGUUUGUUUCUUCAGGAAAUAACAGUGUUUUAUUCCAUCAUUGCUUCCUAUAUUUUUUGUUCAUUUAAUAUAUUCCUUGUGCUUGCCUUCUGUUAUGUAUUUCUCAUAGUACAAGCACAGCAUUCACUAAUGCAUUUCCUCACAUUAAACAUUGUUCUCAGAAGACAGAAGAUCCAGUUUUACUCUUCAGUCUUAUCAUGUUGCAAAGCAUACAACAGUAAAAGUGCAACAGUUUUGUCAUUCAUUAACUUGCAAACCCAAC
ensembl:lncRNA